CCAUAUCUUUACUCAUGAGAAUGAUGGUAUCUAAAAGUACUCACGCAAACCAUAUUUUUUGAAUAAUGCAUCAUCAACAGAUCAAGGAUGUUAAUCCAGUUCAUGAAUACCAAGGUUCUAUUUAUUUGAGUCAAGGAACAGAGCAGUCAACAAAAAUGAAUGAGACCCAAUAUUGAAUUUACACAUGUAGUGACAACUUCGUAUGGUAUAUGUGCACUUGAAGCAGUGGUGAAGAAGUGACUGGCUGUUAACUUUUUUAAGUUCCUGCCUUUACACUCUGUUUGAUGACCUCAUUGUUUUUGCUGACAUGAAGCAACGAUGACUAAUCAAGGACUUGGUUUGGGUAAACAGGUUCUCGAAGGUGCACCUUCAAUUGUAGCUGCAGGCGUUGCACGGAAGACAACACGCAACAUCGACCAUUUCCUGGGGUACCUUGAGGGCAUAGAUCCCCUCCUCAUCAAGCGAGUAGCCUAACUAUCCAUGAUAUCAGACAUUUCCAUCUUCACUGUGUCAUUAGGCGUUUUUCGUAACUACUGUAACCAUCCAUUGGUUUCUUAUGAAUCUACAUUAUCACUUUCAUACUGCCAACUUAGAAUGUGGUCUCACAUUUUCUUUGUGCA